rnacentral:rRNA from 1 species
UACGUAGGGGGAUAGCGUUGUCCGGAUUUAUUGGGCGUAAAGAGCGUGUAGGCGGCCAAGUAGGGCCGGUGGGAAAACUCGAGGCUUAACCUCGAGAUGUCAUCGGAAACCAUUUGGCUAGAGUCCGGAAGAGGAAAGUGGAAUUCCUGGUGUAGCGGUGAAAUGCGCAGAUAUCAGGAAGAACACCAAUGGCGAAAGCAGCUUUCUGGGACGGUACUGACGCUGAGACGCGAAAGCGUGGGGAGCGAACAGG